UGAGUAGUGCAGAGGNAGGCGGAAUNCCCGGUGUAGCGGUGGAAUGCGUAGAUAUCGGGAGGAACACCAGUGGCGAAGGCGGCCUACUGGGCACCAACUGACGCUGAGGCUCGAAAGCAUGGGUAGCAAACAGGAUUAGAUACCCUGGUAGUCCAUGCCGUAAACGAUGAUUACUAGGUGUUGGAGGAUUGACCCCUUCAGUGCCGCAGUUAACACAAUAAGUAAUCCACCUGGGGAGUACGACCGCAAGGUUGAAACUCAAAGGAAUUGACGGGGGCCCGCACAAGCAGUGGAGUAUGUGGUUUAAUUCGAAGCAACGCGAAGAACCUUACCAGGUCUUGACAUCGGAUGCAUAGUGCAGAGAUGCAUGAAGCCCUUCGGGGCAUCCAGACAGGUGGUGCAUGGUUGUCGUCAGCUCGUGUCGUGAGAUGUUGGGUUAAGUCCCGCAACGAGCGCAACCCUUACGGUCAGUUACUACGCAAGAGGACUCUGGCCGGACUGCCGUUGACAAAACGGAGGAAGGUGGGGAUGACGUCAAAUCAUCAUGUCCUUUAUGACCUGGGCUACACACGUACUACAAUGGCGUUUAACAAAGAGAAGCGAAGCCGCGAGGCGGAGCAAAACUCAAAAACAACGUCCCAGUUCAGACUGCAGGCUGCAACUCGCCUGCACGAAGUCGGAAUUGCUAGUAAUCGCGGAUCAGCAUGCCGCGGUGAAUACGUUCCCGGGCCUUGUACACACCGCCCGUCACACCAUGAGAGCCGGGGGGACCCGAAGUCGGUAGUCUAACCGCAAGGAGGACGCCGCCGAAGGUAAAACUGGUGAUUGGGGUGAAGUCGUAACAAGGUAACCA
rnacentral:rRNA from 1 species